rnacentral:rRNA from 1 species
CUGCAGGCCAUCCAGAGCGGGCAGCAGCACAACCAGAGAAAAAGGAGAAGCGACAGGGCGGGCAGCAGCGUCUCCUCCCCCCGCCCUCAUCCCUAUUGCCGCCGCCGGGUCCUCUCCUCUCCCUAUCGGUGCGAGUGGGCGGGUCGCGGCUUGCGGAGAGCGAGGAGAGGGAGGAGACAGAUGCGUGAGGAGGAGGAGGCCACGGCCGUCGGCUCCUCUCCUCUCCCCGUCGGCGCCAGCGCGCUGGUCGCGGGGAGUGAGGAGAGCGAGGAGAGGGAGGGGGAAGAUGCGUGAGGAGGAGGACCAGGCGGUGGCGCGGCAGCCAGAUCCGAGGCGCGUGGGCGCGGAGGCAGCCGCGGUGGGCUCCGGCCUCUUCUUCACGCACGGCGGCAGGAGCAGCUCCACCUCUCCACUCCCCCACGCGUGAGCCCUCCACAACCCCACCCACCACACCGAGGCGGCGUCCAGAGGCGGUCGGCGGUGGCGCAGGUGGUCUCCCUCCCGCGCCCUUCUCUUUCCUCUCCUCGACGGCGCCGGUGAGAUCCAUCCUGUGCCUUCCCUCCUCUCGCGUCCCCCCUCCCCCCACAGCGGCCCUCCCUGUUGAUGGAAUCCAUCUCUUCUAUGCUCUUCUUCUUCCCCUUCCCUGCCUCCCCGGUUCUCAAUGAUCCCAUCUAUUUGUACAUACUAAGCUAGCUCAACCACACAGGCAGCUUGAUUGGUUCCUAUACUAGCAACAGUACGUUUGUGUCUAGGCGGAACCUCCUGUACGUGCGAUUUCGUGGAGUCAUCUAGCUCUAGAUAGAUGCCACUGGACUCCCAGGUUCUUUCCUGUGUAGGAGCUUACUAAAUUUUGUAGUUUGCAAUGGCUGUUUGGGUGACAUCUCAGAUUCCCUUUGAGGUCCUGUAUGCGCCUUGUUCAACUUUGGUUCAAAUUCAUAUCAUAGUUAGUCCUGCUGCAUGAUGGAACUAGCUAAGGUGGUUGUUGUUUUGCUACCUAAUGGGCACAAUCUUUUAAUCUUUUUCGUUUCCAGGUUCUGAUAGAUGAGUGAUGACUAAUGGUUGAUGCAAAGGAGGAGGCGUACUGAUGGAAGUUGGCAGCAAAAUCAGGACCUCUCCGUCCUCGAGCCCUUCUUCUCCUCUCUCCGCGCUGUCUCGCCUCCCCUGCUCUCGCACCGCCACCUUCCCUGCCCGGCGCUCGAGGCGCCAUGAUUUUGGAUCGGGCGGAUAUCUUCACCAGGAGAGUAGGAGCACUUGCUGUUAAUAUGAACGAUCUCUCACUAAGUUUUUGUUAUGGCGUUGUGUGCCGAUUCAUGAUUUAAACACGCAAAAUGUCUGGUUUGCAUAUUUGUGCCUAGCCCUGUUACCAGCAGUGUAUUUUUUGCUGUAAGAAAGACAACAAUGCUUUAUUUCUUUGACUUUUUGACCGUGUCUAAUUUCUGGUAAAAGAGAGGAAUUUCAGAGAGAUAGACAACCUGAAGAGCUUUGAAUGGUUGUUCGAGUGUGCCGCCAGCCUCCUCGCCGCUGCUGUUGCGUAGCUGGCACCGGUGUGUGGCUACUGCCGAGAUAAGCGCAGUUUACUCCAGGUUUGGUGAUGGUGUUGAACAACACCUUAACUGUGGCCAAGGAAUUUAGUAGCAUUGUGGGAUCAUAAACCAGUUUUUCUGUUCUCUGUGCUCACAUAGUAAGAACAUGCUUGCAAGUUCUUUUCCUUAGGUGUAAUUUCUUUUGCUGAGAUAGAUUAAGCCUGGGUCGAGGUGGCUGCUGUGUGCCGGUUGCCAGUACUUGUUUGUUGUAAUGUCUUACCCAGUGAGAUUUCUUUUAUUCUUGCCUAUUUUCAGAGGUUCUGCUUGAAGAUUCUCUAAUCACUUUCUUUGGAACUUUUUGCUGAGAUAUGCUUCCAGGUUACUUCAAUGUUACCAGACUUAAAAUGUACUAUCUAGCAUACUAGCACGUGUGUAUAUGAUGCCUCCUUUUAUCCUUGAAUGUAAGACACAUGGUGUUUUGUUCCAUUGUUAUGCUUAACGGAAGUGAUGUUCUAUUAUCAUAUUCAAAACUAUAGCUCUUUGUUUGCAGUAUCUCGGAGGGAGCAAUAUUUUGAUACUUGCUUUAUAGGAAUUCUCUUUCUUUGCCUAGAAUUUGUGAUUUAUGGCUGAUGUCAAUUCCACCUUUGUAGGUGUUUCUCAAUUAUUACUAAUGUUGAAACUGCAGAGGAGCAGGAGAUGAGGAGGGCCCCACUUGGUGUACAAUGCUGAAUGAUGCGGCAGUUAGACCGGGAGAUGAGGAGCGCGGCACUGGGUGUACGAAGGAUUAGUAGGAAGAAUGUUAAUCACAGUGGGUGAAAAGAAAAUGCGAGCUCGGCUGAUUGCAUACUGUUUGGUUGAGUUGUUUUGUCCUAAAGAUACAAUCAAGCUGAAGAUUUCUUUUGUAUGGAAAUUCACCAUGGGAAUCGAAAUAAUGGUACUCUGCACAGCCUUUACUUUCUUUCAUCGAUUCUUCAUUCUACAAGUCACACCUUUUCUAUUUGGUAAAAGAAGAGUGAGCUCAUGCUUGAACUUCCACUAUAUAUGUUAACACUUGGAUACUGUAUCAAUCCAGUAAUCAUCUGAUCCUUCAUUGUUUUCCCUUGCAUUGCCUCCUUUAACUCUUCUGGACCUUUGAAAAGAAUGAUUUUUCGAUUACAUAAUGUAUUAUGUUUUGUUUCGUUGUCGAGAGGUAGAUGGUAAAGUAGGCUGGUAUUUUCAUUUUGUUCAUAUGCAGAUAUUUGAUAUAAGUGAAUAUAUACCCUUUGGUAGGUGAAUGUGCUCUCCGUUAAUAUCACUGAUAUAUUUGAGCUUCAGAGAAGGAUAUCUAUGCCAUUUUGUUUUUGUUUUUUGAACAAAAGAGUGUUGUAUGUGUAUCGUUAAGGGGAUGAACCAGCAAAGUUACCUACGCAAUUUAGCAGGAUGUGGCUGAUACGUACAGAGUGGUUUACUUAGGUUUGGUGUUACUGCUAUCUCUUUCGUUGUAAAACUGCAGAGCAGCAGAGUUUAUAGAUUUAUCGACCAUGCUUUUGGUGCCAGUAGUUUUGUAUGUAAGAUGUAGCUGUUGUGCAGCUCCAUGUGUCUGUGUGAUCUGAUGUAUAGAUAUAACAUAACAUUCUAAAAUUUAUAGUUAUUCUCUAUAUAUGAGAAAGCAUGAAAGAACUGUGUAUUAGGGUAAAUAAUCUUUUCUGCUGUUUGAUAAAACAGUUAGGCGGCUACCCUGUCAUAUAUUUUGAUUCUCCUUUGACGAAAUUCCUAUCCUUGAAUGCCAUUUUCUCCAUGGUUUUUAUGUUUUAUGUUGUUCACUACAUGAUACUGAAUUAACAGUUACACGAAAGUUUAGCGAACACUUUUCUAAGAGAAGCCUCUUCCCGCACAUGGAUGCUGAUCAUGAUGAGCUACCAAUCAGUACAGGAGAUGGGACUACCAGUGUCACGACCCUCUUUAUCAAGGGCGUCGACAACAGGGCUACACUCACAAUGAACUAGAGCAGCUUCUUCCAUAAGGCAAACAUGAAGAAAGGGUGUACAUAUGCUUUCACCUUCAAGUGCACCUCCAAGGGUCUUUGCAUGAUGUCUAUCCAAUCUAAGCAGGUCACAGUAGUCCUUUGCUACGUAACUUGGUAUUACUAUAAGUACCUAUUGAGACUUUUAUAUCUGGCAUCAUUUUGGAUCUUAUUAAAAAAAAUUAUGAUAAUCCUGUCCGUAUGACUAUUAUCAAUCCAUACUAAUUUUCAUAUGUUUCCUUCCGUGUCUACAUAUUUUGAUGCACACUCUUUCAAUAUUUGGCUUGCUCUUGGCCUUUGCGCCAUGGGCGCAACUGGUCAUCUAGUACCAUGAAAGGAUGCAGAUUCUAUGAAGAAACCCGAACUGUUGAUGGGGUUGUACAUCCAACAUACAAAUCUGCAUGUUAUGCUCUUGGGCUACUUAAUGACGACAAGGAGUGGGAUGACUGCAUCAAGGAAGCAUCCCAUUGGGCCUCUGCUCCUCAAAUGCGCCAACUUUUCUAUACGAUACUUUGAUUUUGCAAGGUAACGGAUCCUGCAAAGUUGUGGCAAACAAACUGGGAAUUACUAUCUGAGGACAUCCAACGUUGGCAAAGAAGAAUACUCAAUUUUCAGGCCCUAGAACUCAACUCAGCGCAAAUAAAGAGGCUCCUCUUGGCAGAGAUGGAACACCUGUUGACCAAAGGUGGUAAGUCCCUCAAAGAUUUUCCAGGAAUGCCACUACCAGAUAGUUCAAUUCUUCAAGAUAUAAAUAAUAGAUUAGUAAACGAGGAACUAAACUAAGAUAAAGAUUCAUUAAGAAUAGAGCACACAGAGUUACUGCAAAAGCUAAAUCAAGAUCAGAGGAUGGCUUUUGCUGUUAUAAUAGAAUCAGGUAAUAGCAGUCUUGGAAAAUUGAUUUUCGUUGACGGAUAUGGCAGAACUGGAAAGACAUUUUUGUGGAAAGCAGUCACAAGAAAAUUAAGAUCUGGAGGAAAAAUAGUUCUAGGCUUCUAGCAGUAGCUUCAAGUGGUACAACAACACUUCUUUUACAGGGUGGAAGAACAGCUCAUUCAAGAUUUCACAUUCCGCUCAAGAUCACUAACGAGUCGACAUGCAACAUCAAGCAAGGAACAUUUCUCGCGAAACUAAUAAAGAAAACUUCACUGAUAAUAUGGGAUGAAGAACCUAUGACACCCAAGCACUGUUUUGAGGCACUAGACAAGAGUUUGAGAGACAUACUUCGAUUCACAAAUGAGGAUGCUGAGCAUAGACUGUUUGGAGGAAUGACGGUAGUCUUGGGAGGUGACUUCAGGCGAAUCCUACCAGUUAUUCCAAAGGGGGAAAGGGAACAUAUCAUUUCUGCAUCUGUAAAGAGAUCCUAAAUAUGCGUCUGAAUUCAUCCGAGUUUCUAAAUAGUCUAACAUUUUUUGGAAUACCAGACCAUGAACUGAGGCUGAAAGUAGGAUUACCAGUAAUGCUUACGACUAUGAGUAACUUCAAUCAAAGUGCAGGACUUUGCAAUGGGACAAGACUAACAAUAACACAGCUAGAGAAGCGUUUCAUCGAAGGCCAGGUCAUAACAGGUACUAACAUUGGCGACAAAGUUUACAUCCCACGAAUUAUUAUGUCACCAAGUGAUUCAGAAUGGCCUUUCAUUCUGAAAAGGAGACAAUACCCAAUAUCAGUGUGCUUUGCUAUGACUAUAAACAAACGUCAGGGGCAAUCUCUCAAAAAGGUUGGACUCUACUUACAAAGGCAAGUGUUCACACAGCUCUAUGUUGCAAUGUCAAGGGUUACCAGCAGAAAUGGAUUGCGGAUACUCAUACCAGAUGAAGAGCGUCGAUCCGACAAGGUUGCAGAAAACAUUGUUUUCAAGGAUAUAUUAUAGAUAUUUGUUUUUCAAUAGCUAGAAUUACAGCAGGUACAACCAUUCUUAUAUGACUAAAUAUAAUGUGUUGAAGACAUAGCAGCCUUAUCUUUUUUAAAUUGAAUUUUUAAAAUUGUUUUAAAUAGUUGUCUCUGAAAUAUUUUAUUUGUCACCAAGGUACUUCUCUCUGCAUUUACAGGCAAACAAAAAUAUUGGGGUAAGGGCUCACAACUGAUUUCACAAAAUCAAUAUCAGUUAUAUAUGUAUAUG